AAGCUUAAAAUCUCCGUGCAAAUUUUGCAUGGCGAAUUGUAGUCUAUAGAGGCGUGAUUAGCAUAGGCACUUGGGGCAAGUUCCUUGGAAGAGGACAGCAUCGAGGGUGAUACUCCCGUUUAUCUCCGAGUUGCUUAUGCGUACAAUCCGUUUUCUUUGAGUCGCGUUGUUUGAGAAUGCAGCGCAAAGUAGGUGGUAAAUUCCAUCUAAAGCUAAAUAUUGGUGCGAGACCGAUAGCAAACAAGUACCGUGAGGGAAAGAUGAAAAGAACUUUGAAAAGAGAGUUAAAGAGUACCUGAAACUGCUGAAAGGGAACCAAAUCGUUUCCAGUGUCUAUAAUCCGUGGUAUAUUUCAUUGGCGAAUGUGUGCGUGCGUGUACUAUGGCAGCGGCUUUUUGCUGCGCCUUGUGUAUGUGUGCACUUUCUCGCUGAUGCCCUGUACCGUGGUGGGACGUCAAUGUCGGUUCGUAAAUUGCGGGAAAUGACUGCCGAGGAGGUAGGGCGAACGCUUGCGUUUGUCUGUUAUAUCUUGGCGGACGUAGUAGUCGCGGUUGGGACUGAGGUGCCUACAAUGUGCUUAUGAGUAGAAUUGAUUCUCUGUGUGCGCCGUGUGCGGAUAGCUUGCUAUGCGUGUGUGGCUGCGUGUGGAUUGAGUCGAGACGUAACUUAUUGCCGUUC
rnacentral:rRNA from 1 species